CCUUAAGAGACCAACUAAGUUUGUUCUUGGUAUGAGCUUUUGUUUGCAUGCACACAAAAGCUCAUACCAAGAACAAACUUAGUUGGUCUCUAAAGU